rnacentral:tRNA from 1 species
UUAAUUGAAACCAAAUAGAGGUAUAUCACUGUUAAUGAUAUCAAUGAAUUUAUUUUUCCAAUUAAA